rnacentral:rRNA from 1 species
UACGAAGGGGGCUAGCGUUGUUCGGAAUUACUGGGCGUAAAGGGCUCGUAGGCGGCCAACUAAGUCAGACGUGAAAUCCCCAGGCUCAACCGGGGAACUGCGUCUGAUACUGGGCGGCUUGAAUUCGGGAGAGGGAUGCGGAAUUCCAGGUGUAGCGGUGAAAUGCGUAGAUAUCUGGAGGAACAUCGGUGGCGAAGGCGGCAUCCUGGACCGAGAUUGACGCUGAGGCGCGAAAGCCAGGGGAGCAAACGGG